UUUGUACUCCCUCCGUCCCAAAAUUCUUGUCUUAGAUUUAUCCAGAUAUAGAUGUAUCUUACACUAAAAUAUAUUUAGAUACAUCCGUAUUUAGACAAAUAUAAGAUAAGAUUUUUGGGACAGAGGGAGUACUUU
rnacentral:pre_miRNA from 1 species